rnacentral:rRNA from 1 species
CACGUGAGUAACCUGCCCCAGACUCUGGGAUAAGCCUUGGAAACGAGGUCUAAUACCGGAUACGAGACGAGACCGCAUGGUCAUUGUCUGGAAAGUUUUUCGGUCUGGGAUGGACUCGCGGCCUAUCAGCUUGUUGGUGAGGUAAUGGCUCACCAAGGCGACGACGGGUAGCCGGCCUGAGAGGGCGACCGGCCACACUGGAACUGAGACACGGUCCAGACUCCUACGGGAGGCAGCAGUGGGGAAUAUUGCACAAUGGGCGCAAGCCUGAUGCAGCAACGCCGCGUGGGGGAUGAAGGCCUUCGGGUUGUAAACCCCUUUUAGUAGGGAAGAAGCGAAAGUGACGGUACCUACAGAAAAAGCGCCGGCUAACUACGUG